AAGUCGUAACAAGGUUUCCGUAGGUGAACCUGCGGAAGGAUCAUUAUCGAGUUUUUGAACGGGUUGUAGCUGACCUCUCAUAAGGAGGUAUGUGCACGCCUGGCUCAUUCCACUCUCAACCCCUGUGCACUUCUCGUAGGAGGAAACUAGUUGUAUUAGGCGGAGAGCUGACUGAAAAGUCAGUUUGCAAGUCUCUUACACAUCCUUCCUAUGUUUUUACUACAAACGCUUCAGUUAAAGAAUGUCUUACUUUGCGUACAUCGCAUUUUAAAAUAUAUACAACUUUCAACAACGGAUCUCUUGGCUCUC
rnacentral:misc_RNA from 1 species